rnacentral:rRNA from 1 species
AUGUUGCAAAGAGUAAUUUUGAAUUGUAUUCAUAAGAAUCAAUAUGGGUUUCUGAAGAGCGGAUCAAUUCAGGACUGUUUAGCUUGGGCUUUUGAAUAUAUACAUCAAUGCAAACAGUCAAAGAGACCUAUCAUCAUUCUAAAGCUGAAUUUUGCCAAGGCUUUUGAUACUGUGGAACAUGAGGUUAUUUUGCAGAUGCUCAAACAUAAGGGUUUUGAUGAUAAGUGGAUUGGCUGGGUUAAAGACAUUCUUUCUUCAGGGACAUCUUCUGUGUUGCUCAAUGUCAUACCUAGUAAACAGUUUAAGUGCAACUAUGGGGUCAGACAGGGUGAUCCUCUCUCACCCCUCCUUUUUGUUAUAGCUGCCAACCUCUUGCAGUUAGUGGUUAAUCAAAUGUUCUCCCAUGGGACCUUAACUCUCCCAAUUCCCUCCCAUGAUCAAGACUUUCCCAUAAUACAAUAUGCUGAUGAUACUAUCAUCUUUUUGUCUGCCAGAGAGGAGGAAUUGGUAGCCCUGAAAAAUAUGUUGUUGACAUUUCAGCAAUUCACUGGGCUAAAGGUUAAUUUUGCAAAGUCCUCCAUGAUUCCCUUAAACAUUAAUGAAGAGGAGGCCAACAGGUUAGCUGCUCUACUAGGCUGUAAAAUUGGAUAG